rnacentral:lncRNA from 1 species
CGGUGAGAGGCGUGCAGGGACCUGGAUUGGCCAGUCCAGACUAGCCCUGCCAAAAAGGGGGCCUCGGAGUUGGGGGUAAUGUGCCCAGGAGCAGAAAUCUGGCGACCGUGGCGCUGCAAUCACAGCUUUCCCGUGGUUUCCUAAGUGGUGGCGGUGAUUUGUUUGCGGGAAGCGGGGCGUGACGGAAGACCUUAAUUAAAGGACUCCGCAGGCGAACAGAUCUCUUCUGGGCAGCUACAGACCUCUCCUCGGAGGAGUCUAGGAGAGGCCUGGCUGGAAGCCCCGGCACCCGCCGGGCCCCGGGCCUCAGAUGAGUGAGGCGUCGUCGUGGCAACGCGGGCUCAGGUCCCCGCAAACUUCAUGCCAGGCCUCUCUCUCCCACUCCGGGAGUUCGGUCCCGGCCUCGCCUGCGUCUCCGUCCCAUUCCUGUGAACACUGGAGGGGCGGAUGCGCGCACCCCACGAGCAAGGCCCUCCCUUAGUGAUUCCCAGCUCGUUGGCGCCCCCCCACACACACCCACCCCCACUGCCAAGUGUAGCUGUUUACCCGCCACCUCUCGAGGCCGACGCGCCCCUCGCCGCUCACCAGGUGGCCCUCCUCCAGCCGAGCCCCCGAGUCAGUCCUCAUGGUGCUCUCCCCGCGGGGCUGCCCCGGCGCAACCGCCGGCGGCCCGAGCCCAGCUCCCCGCGACGCAGCGGCCUCCGGGACCUGUGGGACGCCGGGGCUUCGUGGCGCCUGGCGAGGCAGCCGCCCCCUGAGCCAGGUCCCCGCCCGCCUCUGUCCUGCCAGGCGCUGCUGGGUUUGGGAGGAAUGCGUUUACUCUCCAGGACCAACGAGUCUGUGCAGGCCUGGUUAAGAAAGAAAUGGGAAAGAUG